rnacentral:rRNA from 1 species
AGAGUUUGAUCAUGGCUCAGAGCGAACGCUGGCGGCAGGCCUAACACAUGCAAGUCGAGCGCCCGUAGCAAUACGAGAGCGGCAGACGGGAGAGUAACACGUGGGAACGCGCCCUUCGGUUCGGAAUAACUCAGGGAAACUUGAGCUAAUACCGGAUACGCCCUUACGGGAAAAGAUUUAUUGCCGAAGGAACGGCCCGCGUCCGAUUAGCUAGUUGGUGAGGUAACGGCUCACCAAGGCGACGAUCGGUAGCUGGUCUGAGAGGAUGACCAGCCUCACUGGGACUGAGACGCGGCCCAGACUCCUACGGGAGGCAGCAGUGGGGAAUAUUGGACAAUGGGCGCAAGCCUGAUCCAGCCAUGCCGCGUGGAUGAUGAAGGCCCUAGGGUUGUAAAGUCCUUUUAACGGGGAAGAUAAUGACGGUACCCGUAGAAUAAGCCCCGGCUAACUUCGUGCCAGCAGCCGCGGUAAUACGAAGGGGGCUAGCGUUGCUCGGAAUUACUGGGCGUAAAGCGCACGUAGGCGGCUUUCUAAGUCGGGGGUGAAAUCCUGGAGCUCAACUCCAGAACUGCCUUCGAUACUGGAGAGCUCGAGUUCGGGAGAGGUGAGUGGAACUGCGAGUGUAGAGGUGAAAUUCGUAGAUAUUCGCAAGAACACCAGUGGCGAAGGCGGCUCACUGGCCCGAUACUGACGCUGAGGUGCGAAAGCGUGGGGGGCAAACAGGAUUAGAUACCCUGGUAGUCC